AGCGAACGCUGGCGGCAGGCUUAACACAUGCAAGUCGAGCGGGCGUAGCAAUACGUCAGCGGCAGACGGGUGAGUAACGCGUGGGAACGUACCUUUUGGUUCGGAACAACACAGGGAAACUUGUGCUAAUACCGGAUAAGCCCUUACGGGGAAAGAUUUAUCGCCGAAAGAUCGGCCCGCGUCUGAUUAGCUAGUUGGUGAGGUAACGGCUCACCAAGGCGACGAUCAGUAGCUGGUCNGAGAGGAUGAUCAGCCACAUUGGGACUGAGACACGGCCCAAACUCCUACGGGAGGCAGCAGUGGGGAAUAUUGGACAACGGGCGCAAGCCUGAUCCAGCCAUGCCGCGUGAGUGAUGAAGGUCUUCGGAUUGUAAAGCUCUUUUGCCAGGGACGAUAAUGACGGUACCUGGAGAAUAAGCCCCGGCUAACUUCGUGCCAGCAGCCGCGGUAAU
rnacentral:rRNA from 1 species